AUCUCUCCAAAUAUUCAGCCAAGCAAGGAAGAGAGGGAAAGAAAGGAAGAACAAACCCUAGAUGAAGAAUUUCAAGAGAAAAGUGUGGGAAAUUCAAGGAAACAAGUGACAAAAGGUAAAAUUUCUUGAUUUUGACUUGUGAUCUACCUUUUCCAUGCAUUUCUUCUUAUUUUCGAUGGUUAAAUUACAUGUUUUCAUGAUGAAUUCAUGGCUGGUCAAAAUGGGUAAGGAGAGAGAAAGAUAUUGGAUUGAAUUGAUUUUAAGAUAUGUCAGUGUUUUUAGUUAGUUUAGCAUAUUUAGAAGCAAAACAACAAGAAAAGAAUCCAUUUUCCCCAUGAAUCUUCAUGGCCAAAUCUUCCUUGAUAUGUGUGGGAGAUGGAUUAUUAUUAUUUCAAGAGAAAUGGCUUAGAAAAUGAUGAAUAAUGGUGAGAAAAUUAAGUAGGAAAAAUCACGGUGUUAGCACACUGUAAUGGCCAAAUUUUUCCAUGAAGAAAUGGGAAGGUUUUGAUGCUAAAAUUGGUGUUAUUUGAAUAAUGUUUGGUGAAUUGAGGUAUUAGAAAUGAAAUGGAGCAAUUUGGAGCGAAAUCGGACACAAUUGUCAUUAAUCGGGUAAUUGAUCGAAUUAGGUCAGCAUCGCAUUUAAGCGGUAGUCGGAUAAGUAGCAUAUCAUAUCAUGCAUAUACAUCGAGCCUGAAUUGAUUUUAUAAUGGUCAAGCAUUGAUGUGGUGAAUUAUGUAUUAUACAUUGUGGAUAGGUGGUGAGUAAUUGCACUGGUAAAAGUACAGAGAUUGUGCUUGAAGACUGGGAUUAGGAGUACAUCGACUACUUAAACUGUGAGUAAACUUAUUAUCGUCUUAAUUAUCUAGAGUAGUUUUAUUCAAUUGUGUGAUUUUAUAGAAAAUGAGUUUAAAUGAUAAAUUGCUAUGUUUUAGGAGAAAUUGAGAUUUUAUAAAAUGAUUUUAUAAAUUUUAUGAAAAAUUGAAUAUUGGUUUUGAAAAUAGAGUAAUUGGAGACUGCCCGCUUGUGUUAUAAAUUGUGUUUUAAAUUAUGGCUUAUAGCAUUAUGUGAGCAUGAAUGGCAAAGUUGUUAUUUCUAUCAAAAUUAUAUAUAUAAUAUGUAUUCAGCCUUGAGAGAGGCUAGAUUGCGAUAAAUUGCCAUGUCAUGCAGUUAAAGAUUUUAUAAAUCAGGUGGUAGAUAAAAUAAUCCAUAAUCCCUGCAGUGGAGGUUCUGUAGACUAGCCUAAGAGAGGGGGCACAGAAUCAGAUAUACCUUACCUCGAUCGGAGAGCCGUGUGGAGGGUUUCUCUGGAGGUAAAGAUUUGAGUGCACUUCACGUGCACCACCGCGUGAGAGUGAGACUCAGCCAACGCCAAGGCAUGGUUAGAAUUUCGGAUGUAAAGAUAUUUAAUAGCCUUGGUGGUCUCGGUCAGAUGCCUAGGCCAAGGCAUCCCCGGGAAUGAUUUUGGCAAGAUCCAAGUUUUGUGAGAUAUAUAAGCCAUGUUGAUUAAUUGAGUAAACUGAAUAUUCAUAUUAUGAAACAUAUAUUGGAAAAGAAUAUUUUAAUUCGUCUCCAUUUACUCGCCUUUAGAUAGUUUAAAUGGUGUCUGUUUACUCACUAGGAUUUUAUAAUCUCACCACCUUUAUUUCCUCACAUUUCAGGCUUAAGGAAUUCCAUAGUUAGCCGACUUUGACAAGGACCUUCAUUUGGACUUGAAUAGGCAAAAGCUGUAGAUUUUCAGCUUUCGAUGCAUUUUGGUUAAAUGUGGGCCCACGUGUUGCUGUAAAAAUAAUUUUAUGCUUUGGUUAUUUGCUUUAUAGUAAAUAUGAAUAUAAUUAACUUUUACGCUAUAAGAAUUAUUUACUAAUAGCUUUAUAAAAAAAUUAUUUUACAAGAAAAUAGUUAAUUUUAUUGAAUAUUUUUAUUAUAUUCAAA
rnacentral:lncRNA from 1 species